UCCCUGGAGGACUAGUGGUUCGGCCACAGUGCUCUCACCACUUCGGCCCAGGUUCGAUUCCCAGCCAGGGAA